GACGAACGCUGGCGGCAGGCUUAACACAUGCAAGUCGAGCGAAGACUUCGGUCUAGCGGCAGACGGGUGAGUAAACGCGUGGGAAUCUACCUAGCUCUACGGAAUAGCUCCGGGAAAACUGGAAUUAAUACCGUAUACGCCUUCGGGGAAAGAUUUAUCGGAGUUGGAUGAGCCCGCGUUGGAUUAGCUAGUUGGUGGGGGUAAAGGCCUACCAAGGCGACGAUCCAUAGCUGGUCUGAGAGGAUGAUCAGCCACAUUGGGGACUGAGACACGGCCCAAACUCCUACGGGAGGCAGCAGUGGGGGAAUAUUGGACAAUGGGCGCAAGCCUGAUCCAGCCAUGCCGCGUGAGUGAUGAAGGCCCUAGGGUUGUAAAGCUCUUUCAACGGUGAAGAUAAUGACGGU
rnacentral:rRNA from 1 species